AUGUUGUCCAUUGACGGCAUCCGAUUUGGACGAAAGGCUUGGCGGUGAGGGAUGGGGAUGCGUCCGAUUAGCCAGACGGCGGGGUAACGGCCCACCGUGGCGACGAUCGGUAGGGGUUCUGAGAGGAAGGUCCCCCACACUGGAACUGAGACACGGUCCAGACUCCUACGGGAGGCAGCAGUGAGGAAUAUUGGUCAAUGGGCGUAAGCCUGAACCAGCCAAGUAGCGUGCAGGACGACGGCCCUAUGGGUUGUAAACUGCUUUUAUGCGGGGAUAAAGUGGCCCACGUGUGGGUUUUUGCAGGUACCGCAUGAAUAAGGACCGGCUAAUUCCGUGCCAGCAGCCGCGGUAAUACGGAAGGUCCGGGCGUUAUCCGGAUUUAUUGGGUUUAAAGGGAGCGUAGGCCGCGCCUUAAGCGUGUUGUGAAAUCCGGGUGCUCAACAUCCGGCUUGCAGCGCGAACUGGGGCGCUUGAGUGCGCAGAAAGUAGGCGGAAUUCGUGGUGUAGCGGUGAAAUGCUUAGAUAUCACGAGGAACUCCGAUUGCGAAGGCAGCCUACUGUAGCGCUACUGACGCUGAUGCUCGAAAGCGUGGGUAUCGAACAGGAUUAGAUACCCUGGUAGUCCACGCGGUAAACGAUGGAUGCUCGUUGUCGGCCCUUUGGGUCGGUGACCAAGCGAAAGCGUUAAGCAUCCCACCUGGGGAGUACGCCGGCAACGGUGAAACUCAAAGGAAUUGACGGU
rnacentral:rRNA from 1 species